rnacentral:misc_RNA from 1 species
AACAAAACAAAACAAAACAAAAACCCUAAUGAACAAAUAUUGUUUUCAUUAACUUUGUAAGAAAAAUAUAUUCAACAUCGUAGCUCUCGUUGUCUCUCACUGUCGGAUUGAGCUGAAUUGGUGGACAAGAUUUGGGCGGGAAAAAAGGAGGCGCGAAUAUUGGGUAGCUCUAAGGGUAGGAACUAACCAAAGGAACUUUAUUCUCUACUGCCAUCUCUACCCGCAACUGAUAAAGACGCAGAUAGAGAACAAGCACAGAAAUUUAUAUUCUUCUUCUUCUUUGU